rnacentral:tRNA from 1 species
GAGGCUAUAACUUAAUUGGUAAAGUGAGCUGCUCAUGACAGCUUUGAUGAGUGUUCAAGUCACUUUAGCCUUA